GUGAUCAGUACUGGAAUUCAGAGAGAAGUUUAAAUUUGCAUAAAAUCUUCUGAUAAUGCAUAUCUUGUAUAACACGAUUUCCUAUAAUGCAGAGCAUAUCCCCAUGUUGAACAAGAGUCCACUGUAUAUUCUUUUUGUUUUUUUAAUUAUUCUUCAGAGAGACACUUUAUUAAAGUUGAAUUUUAAUCAAAAUUAUUUUAUGCUUAUCACAUACCAUUUCCAUGCUAUAUUAAAUUCUUUUGGUGGGAUUAUAUUAUUAAUAAUUUUGUCUUUGCUUUUUUCUUUAUAUAUUAGGUCAUCCCAUAAGUAAUGUCGUUUUUUGCACCUAUGAAGAAAACA
rnacentral:lncRNA from 1 species